GGCCUUUUGGCGCAACGGAUAACGCGUCUGACUACGGAUCAGAAGAUUCCAGGUUCGAAUCCUGGCAAGGUCG
rnacentral:tRNA from 1 species